rnacentral:rRNA from 1 species
UACGAAGGGGGGCUAGCGUUGCUCGGAAUCACUGGGCGUAAAGCGCACGUAGGCGGAUCUUUAAGUCAGGGGUGAAAUCCUGGAGCUCAACUCCAGAACUGCCUUUGAUACUGGGGGAUCUCGAGUCCGGAAGAGGUAAGUGGAACUCCGAGUGUAGAGGUGAAAUUCGUAGAUAUUCGGAAGAACACCGGUGGCGAAGGCGGUCUGCUGGGCAGUUGCUGACACUGAGGCGCGACAGCGUGGGGAGCAAACAGGG